UAGAUUAUUAGAAAAAAACAACUUUUUUUUCCUUUGUAAUUUGGAUAAGGAGAUCUUUAAAAGGGGAGCACAACUGUUCAGGCUUAUACGAUACUUGAGCUAAGCAUGUCUGUCAGUUACUGAGGCAGUCUAAACAAAAUAACUGUUAAGAUAUGAAGGUCUGGAAGGUAUACAAAUAAAGCACAGAGCCAUAUAGUAAAGAAACAACAGGAACAGCCUUGCUUUGAUCAAGAAUAAAACUUCAUGUUUUGACAUUUGGAGUAUAAAACCAAUGUGAAAUCCUAACAAAUAUCAGUGCAAUGGAUCACUAAUCAAUACAGACUGGAGAAGUCCAGGAAAGUGCUCCAGAGCAGCAGGUACAACCCCUGUUGGAAGGAAAUGGAGAAGUAAAUCGAAGCAAAUGCAGAAGACUCGGCUGUUGGGUAAAUUGAAGACAAUCCUUCUACAAACCUAAUCCCAAGCACUGCUCCUGUAUGAAUUUCAGACUUACACAUAUGUCUAAGUGUCAUUGAAGCCAAAGCACUUUAAGAAGACUGUUCAACAUGCGACUGCUAGCAUUGCUCAAGUUCCUGCUGGAGCUGCUCAAGUUAAAUAUGUUAACAAGGAUCUGAAGAAUUACGUUUCAAUAGUUGCAUUGUUUUAGUGGAUUCUUUAGUGUCAUAAUUAAAUGUGUAUCCUGCAGUGGGAAAAGCAAUACUGAAGCUGUCUUAUUCAAACUGGCACCUUCCAUCUCCAGUAGUGUAUAGAUAUGAGAGAGAGUAAAACAAAGAAUGAGAAAGUUUGUUUUUUAUUGUUACAGAAACAGGGACACACUAAGCACAUGAAGGAAGAGUCCGUAGCUAAAUUGUAGAGAGUAAGAAACCAAUAAAUUGUUGGUAGUUUAGAAGU